GACGAACGCUGGCGGCGUGCUUAACACAUGCAAGUCGAACGAAGUGGCGAACGGGUGAGUAACGCGUACUUAACCUGCCCUUCAUAGGGGGACAACAGUUGGAAACGACUGCUAAUACCGCAUACUGAAUGAGGGGAUUGCGUCUGAUUAGCUAGUUGGAGGGGUAACGGCCCACCAAGGCGAUGAUCAGUAGCCGGUCUAAGAGAAUGAGCGGCCACAGUGGGACUGAGACACGACCCAGACUCCUACGGGAGGCAGCAGUGGGGAGUCUUACGAAAUGAACGAAAGUCUGACGGAGCAACGACGCGUGAGUGAUGACGGCCUUCGGGUUGUAGAGCUCUGUUAAUCGGGACGCGGUACCGGAAUCGAAAGCCAGGGCUAACUACGAGCCAGCGGACGCAGUAAUUC
rnacentral:rRNA from 1 species